AUAACAACAGAUUUUAACAUUUCUUGCAGAAAUAUACAAGGGAAAAAUGAUAAAAUGCUUUUAUAUUUCCAACAUAUCAGAAGAGAAACUUUAAGUCACAAGCUAUAAUUUGUUUAAGCAUAAAAACUUUCUAAAGUAUCUAAAUAUCUAUUACACUUCUUAAAAUCCCUAACUGAACUUCUUCCUUGUAAAGCUAAAAACACAGGUACAUUAUUGGUUCCUAAGUCACAAAGUAAAAUUUUGGCAUUCUAAAAACCUAAGGAGAAAGAAAACAAAUUUUGCACUUCCACAAGCACAUACAAUACUACUUUACAUAUAGUAACUUAGCUGGAUCUCAUAUAAUGGCCAGUGUU
rnacentral:lncRNA from 1 species